UACAGAGGUGGCAAGCGUUGUUCGGAAUUACUGGGCGUAAAGGGCGCGUAGGCGGUCUUGUAAGUCUUGUGUGAAAUCCCUCGGCUUAACUGGGGAACUGCGUCUGAUACUGGAUGGCUUGAGUUUGGGAGAGGGAUGCGGAAUUCCAGGUGUAGCGGUGAAAUGCGUAGAUAUCUGGAGGAACACCGGUGGCGAAGGCGGCAUCCUGGACCAACACUGACGCUGAGUGAGCGAAAGCCAGGGGAGCAAAGCGGGAUUAAGAAAACC
rnacentral:rRNA from 1 species